GCCAGUAUAACUCAGUUGAUAAGACUGAUAAUCAAGACUGCACACAUUAGAGAUGUAUGAGUUCGAAUCUCACUGCUGGCA
rnacentral:tRNA from 1 species